rnacentral:rRNA from 1 species
CGCGUAGGCGGUUUGCUAAGUUGGAUGUGAAAACUCUGGGCUUAACCCAGAGCCUGCAUCCAAAACUGGCAAGCUGGAGUUUUGGAGGGGGAAGCGGAAUUCCUGGUGUAGCAGUGAAAUGCGUAGAUAUCAGGAGGAACACCGGUGGCGAAGGCGGCUUCCUGGACAAAAACUGACGCUGAGGCGCGAAAGCUAGGGGAGCAAACA